rnacentral:rRNA from 1 species
GCGAGUGGCGGACGGGUGAGGAAUACAUCGGAAUCUACCUUUUCGUGGGGGAUAACGUAGGGAAACUUACGCUAAUACCGCAUACGACCUUAGGGUGAAAGCGGAGGACCUUCGGGCUUCGCGCGGAUAGAUGAGCCGAUGUCGGAUUAGCUAGUUGGCGGGGUAAAGGCCCACCAAGGCGACGAUCCGUAGCUGGUCUGAGAGGAUGAUCAGCCACACUGGAACUGAGACACGGUCCAGACUCCUACGGGAGGCAGCAGUGGGGAAUAUUGGACAAUGGGCGCAAGCCUGAUCCAGCCAUACCGCGUGGGUGAAGAAGGCCUUCGGGUUGUAAAGCCCUUUUGUUGGGAAAGAAAUCCUGUCGGUUAAUACCCGGCAGGGAUGACGGUACCCAAAGAAUAAGCACCGGCUAACUUCGUGCCAGCAGCCGCGGUAAUACGAAGGGUGCAAGCGUUACUCGGAAUUACUGGGCGUAAAGCGUGCGUAGGUGGUUUGUUAAGUCUGAUGUGAAAGCCCUGGGCUCAACCUGGGAAUGGCAUUGGAUACUGGCAGGCUAGAGUGCGGUAGAGGAUGGCGGAAUUCCCGGUGUAGCAGUGAAAUGCGUAGAGAUCGGGAGGAACAUCUGUGGCGAAGGCGGCCA